GCAUAUCAAUAAGCGGAGGAAAAGAAACCAACAGGGAUUGCCCUAGUAACGGCGAGUGAAGCGGCAACAGCUCAAAUUUGAAAUCUGGCCCUCGGGUCCGAGUUGUAAUUUGUAGAGGAUGCUUUUGGUGAGGUACCUUCCGAGUUCCCUGGAACGGGACGCCAUAGAGGGUGAGAGCCCCGUACGGUUGGACGCCGAGCCUCUGUAAAGCUCCUUCAACGAGUCGAGUUGUUUGGGAAU
rnacentral:rRNA from 1 species